UACAGAGGAGCCAAGCGUUGUCCGGAUUGACUGGGCGUAAAGCGUGCGCAGGCGGUUCGUUGUGUCGGUGGUGAAAUCCCCGGGCUUAACCUGGGAAUGGCCAUGGAAACUGGCGAACUGGAGUGCGGCAGAGGGGGGUGGAAUUCCGCGUGUAGCAGUGAAAUGCGUAGAGAUGCGGAGGAACACCGAUGGCGAAGGCAGCCCCCUGGGCUAGCACUGACGCUCAGGCACGAAAGCGUGGGGAGCAAACAGG
rnacentral:rRNA from 1 species